rnacentral:rRNA from 1 species
GAGUUUGAUCGUGGCUCAGAUUGAACGCUGGCGGCAUGCCUUACACAUGCAAGUCGAACGGCAGCAUGAUCUAGCUUGCUAGAUUGAUGGCGAGUGGCGAACGGGUGAGUAAUACAUCGGAACGUGCCCUGUAGUGGGGGAUAACUAGUCGAAAGAUUAGCUAAUACCGCAUACGACCUGAGGGUGAAAGUGGGGGACCGCAAGGCCUCAUGCUAUAGGAGCGGCCGAUGUCUGAUUAGCUAGUUGGUGGGGUAAAGGCCCACCAAGGCGACGAUCAGUAGCUGGUCUGAGAGGGCGAUCAGCCACACUGGGACUGAGACACGGCCCAGACUCCUACGGGAGGCAGCGAGUGGGGAAUUUUGGACAAUGGGCGAAAGCCUGAUCCAGCAAUGCCGCGUGUGUG